rnacentral:misc_RNA from 1 species
UUAAACUUGGAAGAAGAGAUGCUAGAACUGCAAGCCGCUCUGCUGCCAAUAAUGGCAUUCCACCUCCCACUUCUAACUUGAACCAACUCAUCUCAAGAUUCAAUGCCCUUGGCCUUUCAACCAGAGACUUGGUUGCAUUAUCUGGAGCGCACACAAUUGGACUAGCAAGGUGCACAUCGUUCAGGACUAGAAUAUACAAUGAGACAAACAUAGACAGAUCCUUUGCUCAGACAAGGAGAUCAAACUGCC